rnacentral:sRNA from 1 species
AGGUAAAGAAUAACGACUAAGACCGCCAAUCGUUAUGUCUUCGUCAUUCUGACCCACAUCCUGUGGG